UACGUAGGGUGCGAGCGUUGUCCGGAAUUAUUGGGCGUAAAGAGCUUGUAGGCGGUUUGUCGCGUCUGCCGUGAAAUUUCGAGGCUCAACCUCGAACUUGCGGUGGGUACGGGCAGACUAGAGUGUGGUAGGGGAGACUGGAAUUCCUGGUGUAGCGGUGAAAUGCGCAGAUAUCAGGAGGAACACCGAUGGCGAAGGCAGGUCUCUGGGCCACUACUGACGCUGAGGCGCGAAAGCUAGGGGAGCAAACAGG
rnacentral:rRNA from 1 species